rfam:Human gut metagenome DNA, contig sequence: F1-T_030017.
UAACCAUUAUUAUGAGGUACUGCUGAACGUACAGAAGUCAGCCGAGGUCAUAGUAGCCGAGAGGCGAAGGAC